rnacentral:rRNA from 1 species
AUACGUAGGGAGCGAGCGUUGUCCGGAAUUACUGGGUGUAAAGGGAGCGUAGGCGGGAGUGCAAGUCAGAUGUGAAAUACAUGGGCUCAACCCAUGGGCUGCAUUUGAAACUGCAUUUCUUGAGUGAAGUAGAGGUAAGCGGAAUUCCUGGUGUAGCGGUGAAAUGCGUAGAUAUCAGGAGGAACACCGGUGGCGAAGGCGGCUUACUGGGCUUUUACUGACGCUGAGGCUCGAAAGCGUGGGGAGCAAACAGGAUUAGAUACCCUGGUAGUCCACGCUGUAAACGAUGAUUACUAGGUGUGGGGGGACUGACCCCUUCCGUGCCGCAAUUAACACAAUAAGUAAUCCACCUGGGGAGUACGACCGCAAGGUUGAAACUCAAAUGAAUUGACGGGG